AUUGAACGCUGGCGGCAUGCUUUACACAUGCAAGUCGAACGGUAACAGGUUAAGCUGACGAGUGGCGAACGGGUGAGUAAUGCAUCGGAACGUGCCCGAUCGUGGGGGAUAACGCAGCGAAAGCUGCGCUAAUACCGCAUACGAUCUGAGGAUGAAAGCGGGGGACCGUAAGGCCUCGCGCGAUCGGAGCGGCCGAUGUCAGAUUAGGUAGUUGGUGGGGUAAAGGCCCACCAAGCCGACGAUCUGUAGCUGGUCUGAGAGGACGACCAGCCACACUGGGACUGAGACACGGCCCAGACUCCUACGGGAGGCAGCAGUGGGGAACUUUGGACAAUGGGCGAAAGCCUGAUCCAGCAAUGCCGCGUGCAGGAAGAAGGCCUUCGGGUUGUAAACUGCUUUUGUACGGAGCGAAAAGGUCCUUUCUAAUACAAGGGGCUCAUGACGGUACCGUAAGAAUAAGCACCGGCUAACUACGUGCCAGCCGCCGCUGUAACAC
rnacentral:rRNA from 1 species